rnacentral:rRNA from 1 species
GACGAACGCUGGCGGCGUGCUUAACACAUGCAAGUCGAACGGUGAAGCGCCUUCCUUUUUGGUGGGUGUGGAUGAGUGGCGAACGGGUGAGUAACACGUGAGUAACCUGCCCCCUUCUUCUGGAUAACCGCAUGAAAGUGUGGCUAAUACGGGAUAUUCUGGGUCUGUCGCAUGAUGGGUCUGGGAAAGAUAUUGUUUCGGUGGGGGAUGGGCUCGCGGCCUAUCAGCUUGUUGGUGGGGUGAUGGCCUACCAAGGCGGUGACGGGUAGCCGGCCUGAGAGGGUGGACGGUCACACUGGGACUGAGACACGGCCCAGACUCCUACGGGAGGCAGCAGUGGGGAAUAUUGCACAAUAGGCGCAAGCCUGAUGCAGCGACGCCGCGUGAGGGAUGGAGGCCUUCGGGUUGUGAACCUCUUUCGCCAGUGAAGCAGGCCUGCCUCGUUUGUGGGUGGGUUGACGGUAGCUGGAUAAGAAGCGCCGGCUAACUACGUG